rnacentral:rRNA from 1 species
UACGUAGGGUGCAAGCGUUGUCCGGAAUUAUUGGGCGUAAAGAGCUCGUAGGCGGUCUGUCGCGUCUGCUGUGAAAACUCGGGGCUUAACCCCGGGCCUGCAGUGGGUACGGGCAGACUAGAGUGCGGUAGGGGAGACUGGAAUUCCUGGUGUAGCGGUGAAAUUCGUAGAUAUUGGGAAGAACACCGGUGGCGAAGGCGGCUCACUGGCUCGUAACUGACGCUCAGGCGCGAUAGCGUGGGGAUCAAACAGG